GAUGAACGCUGGCGGCGUGCCUAAUACAUGCAAGUCGAGCGAACAGACGAGGAGCUUGCUCCUCUGACGUUAGCGGCGGACGGGUGCGUAACACGUGGAUAACCUACCUAUAAGACUGGGAUAACUUCGGGAAACCGGAGCUAAUACCGGAUAAUAUAUUGAACCGCAUGGUUCAAUAGUGAAAGACGGCUUUGCUGUCACUUAUAGAUGGAUCCGCGCCGCAUUAGCUAGUUGGUAAGGUAACGGCUUACCAAGGCAACGAUGCGUAGCCGACCUGAGAGGGUGAUCGGCCACACUGGAACUGAGACACGGUCCAGACUCCUACGGGAGGCAGCAGUAGGGAAUCUUCCGCAAUGGGCGAAAGCUUGACGGAGCAACGCCGCGUGAGUGAUGAAGGUCUUCGGAUCGUAAAACUCUGUUAUUAGGGAAGAACAAAUGUGUAAGUAACUAUGCACGUCUUGACGGUACCUAAUCAGAAAGCCACGGCUAACUACGUG
rnacentral:rRNA from 1 species